CGUAGGGAGCAAGCGUUGUCCGGAAUCAUUGGGCGUAAAGCGCGCGUAGGCGGCCCCGUAAGUCCGCUCUGAAAGUCAAAGGCUCAACCUUUGAAAGCGGGUGGAUACUGCAGGGCUAGAGUCCGGAAGAGGCGAGUGGAAUUCCUGGUGUAGCGGUGGAAUGCGCAGAUAUCAGGAGGAACACCAACGGCGAAGGCAGCUCGCUGGGACGGUACUGACGCUGAGGCGCGAAAGCGUGGGGAGCAAACAGGAUUAGAUACCCUGGUAGUCCACGCCGUAAACGAUGGGCAUUAGGUGUGGGAGGUGUCGACUCCUCCCGUGCCGGCGCUAACGCAUUAAAUGCCCCGCCUGGGGAGUACGGCCGCAAGGCUA
rnacentral:rRNA from 1 species